GAGAGAGACAUUUAAUCACCUAGCCAGCUGGCUUGAAGAUGCUAGGCAGCAUGCAAAUCCAAAUAUGACUAUAAUGCUGGUAGGAAAUAAGAGUGAUCUGUCUCAUCGAAGAGCUGUCAGUAAAGAGGAGGGAGAACAAUUUGCAAAAGAAAAUGGGCUUUUGUUUCUUGAGGCGUCUGCUAGAACUGCUCAAAGUGUUGAGGAGGCCUUUAUACAGACUGCUGCCAAGAUACUUCAAAAGAUCCAAGAAGGUGUUUUUGAUGUCUCCAACGAGUCAUCUGGAAUCAAGGUUGGUUAUGGGCGUACGCAAGGUCCAGCUGGUCCAAGGGAUGGAGCAGUUGCUCAAAGAGGUGGAUGCUGCAGCUAGUGUACAAUAGGGUUCCAAAUUGUAAUGAUACUCAUGAACUUGCUUUGGUCCCUCACUAGACUUGUACAGCUCAAAUUCAGUUGACUCAAUUUACUCAUAUUAUUCAGAGUAAAAUAGGUUCUUAAGGAGCUGUUAAUUCCAGUACAUGUGGUGUUUGAGUUGCAUUCAAUGUUAAUAUAGUACAUGGAUUGUUGUUUU
rnacentral:misc_RNA from 1 species